GAUGAACGCUGGCGGCGUGCCUAAUACAUGCAAGUCGAGCGAACAGAUGAGGAGCUUGCUCCUCUGACGUUAGCGGCUGACGGGUGAGUAACACGUGGAUAACCUACCUAUAAGACUGGGAUAACUUCGGGAAACCGGAGCUAAUACCGGAUAAUAUAUUGAACCGCAUGGUUCAAUAGUUAAAGACGGUUUUGCUGUCACUUAUAGAUGGAUCCGCGCCGCAUUAGCUAGUUGGUAAGGUAACGGCUUACCAAGGCGACGAUGCGUAGCCGACCUGAGAGGGUGAUCGGCCACACUGGAACUGAGACACGGUCCAGACUCCUACGGGAGGCAGCAGUAGGGAAUCUUCCGCAAAGGGCGAAAGCCUGACGGAGCAACGCCGCGUGAGUGAUGAAGGUCUUCGGAUCGUAAAACUCUGUUAUUAGGGAAGAACAAAUGUGUAAGUAACUAUGCACGUCUUGACGGUACCUAAUCAGAAAGCCACGGCUAACUACGUG
rnacentral:rRNA from 1 species